CCUACGGGAGGCAGCAGUGGGGAAUAUUGCACAAUGGGCGCAAGCCUGAUGCAGCAACGCCGCGUGAGGGACGACGGCCUUCGGGUUGUAAACCUCUUUUAGUAGGGAAGAAGCGAAAGUGACGGUACCUGCAGAAAAAGCACCGGCUAACUACGUGCCAGCAGCCGCGGUAAUACGUAGGGUGCAAGCGUUGUCCGGAAUUAUUGGGCGUAAAGAGCUCGUAGGCGGUUUGUCGCGUCUGCUGUGAAAACCCCGAGGCCCAACCUCGGGCCUGCAGUGGGUACGGGCAGACUAGAGUGCGGUAGGGGAGAUUGGAAUUCCUGGUGUAGCGGUGGAAUGCGCAGAUAUCAGGAGGAACACCGAUGGCGAAGGCAGAUCUCUGGGCCGUAACUGACGCUGAGGAGCGAAAGCAUGGGGAGCGAACAGGAUUAGAUACCCUGGUAGUCCAUGCCGUAAACGUUGGGAACUAGAUGUAGGGACCAUUCCACGGUUUCUGUGUCGCNGCUACGCAUACGUUCCCGUCCGUCGGGUAGGUACGGCCGCGNGGACGUAACGUACGUAAGGUAAGUAGUUACGCGUGAGACGUGCCGACGGCGACGACGAGGGAGGAGG
rnacentral:rRNA from 1 species